ACAUCCUGGAGGGGCUUAAUGGUGCUGGAAAGUGAGGAAAGAUUGGACAGAAAUUGCGCUGUGGUUUGGAGGUGCAGGCUAACUUUAAACAAGGAAGCAGGAGCUCUGGAAAGAGGCUAACAAUAGCAGCUUUUAUAGCAGAGGAUCAGUAGCUCCAGGCUCCCUUUUUUGAGCAGAGUGGCUGCGAGGGAAGAUGGAAAAGCGUUCCGCUCGAUGUCUGCGCGCUCCGGGGUGAAACUCCCGUAACUACACGCAAAGGGCAGAGGGCUCUGAGAGCAGAGGGCUGUCAGCAACAGCUCAGUCCAAGAGUCCAGCUGACCCUGGAGAAAUCAGCAGACACAACAGGCAGCAGCAAAUGUUUGCAGGAAAAGUGUUAGAGCAGAGCAAACAGACAGAGAUUUCUCUAGCUGCUGCCACAUGCUCUCAUCCCUCUGGAUCUCGAGCUGCAAGGUGUGGUGGAUUAUCAAUAUACACUCAUCCCAUGUCCCCUCAGCUGUGUUCUUACCCAUCCUGAAGAAGUCUCAGCUGUUUUCUGCUUCAAGCAAAUUUUGUCACCUUAUUUUUCCCUUCAUUCUUUUCAAGUAGCUCAUGAAUAUAUUAAAUACCUAUGGAAUGCUAUGGAGUUUCUCUGUCAAUUUUUAAUCCCCCUAACAGGUUUGUCCUAUUUCUUACCAGUUCAGUAGCACACAGGGGAAAUUUUUACCUCAUACUAAA